rnacentral:lncRNA from 1 species
UUUUUUUUUUCCUUUUUUUUUUUUUUUUUUUUCCCUAGAGGGCAGGACAUGGUGUUUGAGACCAGAAAUCCGUGCCUGGUAAGAUUUUCGUCUCGAAAAGCUACCCUAAGAAUUGCAGAGCUUGCUCUGAAGAACAUCCCUUAAAGUUCAAAUUGAAGGGACGGUCCUUUAACCCCACAGACGAGAUGGAGCUCAUCUCGCGGGAGAUUUCUUAAUGGGCAGCGGUUAACCAGGUACCCAUGCUUGACCCUUCUUCACACCAGACUUCCUCAUAUAGAAGAAAAACCCUUUAAAAAAAAAAAAAAAAGAAAAGAAAAAAAAAGAAAAAAAAAAAAAAAACCUCAUGUGGUUGUUUAGUUUCAUGCACAGUUGCAAUAUUUUUCUUCAAACAAACUCUGUACAAACUUUGGGCCCGAUUCAUAAAAGCUCAAUUGCUACCUCUGAGCUCUAGAGAAAACCUUCGUAAAGGACAACACUUGUAUACAGUGUGAACUUUUGUACUUUGUACGCUUUUUUUUAGGGAAGACUGUUUUCCACUUAGUUAAUCUUCUAUGCUCGAGCAUGAACAAAAACAAUUGUGUCAGUGAAAUUCCCCCUUUUAUCUGCAUCCACAAAUUAAUAUGAGGGGAAAAAACGAAGAUGAGUUUCUAGAUGGAGCAUGGUAGGAAGCGUCCCCAGCUUAGCACCUGCCUCGCCACUGCGGGCGGCCCUUGGGGAAAGGCUGCAGGAUUCCUGGCUUUGGGAAUGCCACCAGGAGCGGUCCCCACGUUGGGUGGCUCCGCGGUUUCCCCCAUGGCCGAGCUCAGCCCCAGCCCCAGCCGCUUUCUGAGCCUGGUCCAGCCGAGUCCCUCGGUGUCACUUUUCAAUCCGGGGCACUAAAAUUUCCACUGGCCGCGGGAAAGAUCUGCUGCAAAUUCACUUGACACCCGUGUUAAUACCAUGUCGUGUUCAUUUUUUUAUGAGUCAGGCCCCUCGUGCCUCUAGUAUACUUGUAUUGACUCUCAUAGUUACCAUUUUAGUUUUACUGUGUUCUGUGAAAAAAAUUGUAAUUGGUUGAGAAUCACUGUGGGCAUCCAUUCUUAUUCAACUAAGUCUCCGCAGGUUUUUUGAGCUGGUGUGGAUUAGUUUAACUCUUGUAUUCAACCAUUAGUGCUACCACCUUCUCACAUUACAAUACAAUUACUGGAAGCAAGUACUGCAUUUCCUAUGCAACAAAAAAGGAAAAUAAAAAAUUGCUAAUGC